rnacentral:rRNA from 1 species
GUAGGGAAUAUUGGGCAAUGGUCGGAAGACUGACCCAGCCAUGCCGCGUGCAGGAAGACGGCCCUCUGGGUUGUAAACUGCUUUUAUCUGGGAAGAAAAAGGCCAUGCGUGGCAAAUUGCCGGUACCAGAUGAAUAAGCACCGGCUAACUCCGUGCCAGCAGCCGCGGUAAUACGGAGGGUGCGAGCGUUGUCCGGAUUUAUUGGGUUUAAAGGGUGCGUAGGCGGCUGAUUAAGUCAGCGGUGAAAGACUUCGGCUUAACCGGAGCAGUGCCGUUGAUACUGGUUGGCUUGAGUGUCGGAGGGGUACAUGGAAUUGAUGGUGUAGCGGUGAAAUGCAUAGAUACCAUCAGGAACACCGAUAGCGAAGGCAUUGUACUGACCGACAACUGACGCUGAUGCACGAAAGUGUGGGGAUCGAACAGGAUUAGAAACCCCGGUAGUCC